UACGUAGGGCGCAAGCGUUAUCCGGAAUUAUUGGGCGUAAAGAGCUCGUAGGCGGUCUGUCGCGUCGGUCGUGAAAACUUGGGGCUUAACCCUGAGCUUGCGGUCGAUACGGGCAUGACUGGAGUUCGGCAGGGGAGACUGGAAUUCCUGGUGUAGCGGUGAAAUGCGCAGAUAUCAGGAGGAACACCGGUGGCGAAGGCGGGUCUCUGGACAGUUCCUGACACUGAGACACGAAGGCCAGGGGAGCAAACGGG
rnacentral:rRNA from 1 species